AGAAUAAAAUAUUAACCAAUGACAGGAGAGAGCGGGGGAAAUCCCACCCCACUUCCCGAGCCAAACACCGGGUCAGCGCUCAGUAGUUGGCCGCUGUGGGCAUCACCUCUUUCGGCUUUGCGUUUUUGACAAAAGCCGCCCCCGUUUUUUAAAAGAAACCUGUCCACACACACGCGCACACUCUCUCUCUCUCACACACACACACCACGCACACACACACACAAACACACACACUCCCCCACCUUUUUUUGCGACGUUCAGACUAUAAGCUCGACCUCGUCCCUCCACUUCUUUCGCCAAACAAUUCUCCGCUCCCCGUUCUGGCUUCUUUCAUCCGCUUCCACCAUCGUCAGCGGGCGGUUACAGUGACUCCUGCCCCGCUCACAGCGUCUCUCACUCGGCCAGGCGGUCACGGGCGUGCCGUGCCGGAGCAGAUAGACGCGUGAAGAAGGCGGUGAAAACUCCGAACAGGCAAAAAGAGGGACGCGGGGAGGACGAGUUUGGCGUUUGGACAAGGGAAUGCGGCUGAAUCGGGACCAGACACGAUCCAGUCCGAGUCAACAGUCCGAGUCAACAGUCCGGGUCUAUACGUUCUCGCCGCGACGCCGUCGGCUAACGUGGAUCUCAUUAGUGAAAACUGACAAAAGUGGGACAAGGAGCAGCCCGAGUCUUUAAGCUAAUAUGUUUUUACUCAUUCUUGGUGAAGUUGUGUGUGUGACUGGACUGUAAGGAUUUAGCCCGUUUCCUUUAUCCACAUAAGGGUCAUAAUGCAGACUGUUCUUUUGACAAACCCGUACUGUAAAGCUUGUUUUGAAUGACAAUCUGAAUAAAGUCACAUCCACACGGUCCAGCGUUUCCUCCUCUUGAAGUAAGUGUUUAAAUCAGACUUACUUUGUGGUUCAGGAUACAAAUGAUCAGAGAGAACAUUUAUUGGAAAAAAAGCAAAACCUUUUUGAGACAUUAUUUCACAUUUCAUUUCACUGAAUCGACCUCUCCACACAGAUUUGCGAGGACAUUUUGAAACAUUUAUCUAACAACACCUGAACAAAUCUUCCCAAUCGUGUAGGCCCACUCAGAGACUGAAGAAAGUGAUCCUGUCCUCAUCUCAGGUGGAGCAGGGGCCAACGCGACUCUAUGGGAGGGACUCAGUUUUUGUAAGAAACCUCUGAAAAUAAAAUUAACAAAAUUUGUACCUCAUCAUCAGUAUUUGGACGUGAUAGGAUUCUCAAACCCCCCC
rnacentral:lncRNA from 1 species